rnacentral:rRNA from 1 species
UACGUAGGGUGCAAGCGUUGUUCGGAAUUACUGGGCGUAAAGCGUGUGUAGGCGGCUCGUUAAGUCUGGUGUGAAAGCCCUGAGCUCAACUCAGGAAUUGCAUCGGAAACUAACAAGCUGGAGUUCGGGAGAGGGUAGUGGAAUUCCUGGUGUAGAGGUGAAAUUCGUAGAUAUCAGGAGGAACACCGGUGGCGAAGGCGGCUACCUGGACCGAUACUGACGCUGAGACACGAAAGCGUGGGGAGCAAACAGG